rnacentral:rRNA from 1 species
CGCAAGCCUGACGGAGCCAGACCGCGUGAGGGAAGAAAGCCUUUGGGUUGUAAACCUCUUUUCUCAGGGAAGAAACCUGACGGUACCUGAGGAAUCAGCAUCGGCUAACUCCGUGCCAGCAGCCGCGGUAAUACGGAGGAGGCAAGCGUUAUCCGGAAUUAUUGGGCGUAAAGCGUCCGCAGGUGGCGAUUCAAGUCUGCUGUCAAAGCACGGGGCUUAACUCCGUUAAGGCAGUGGAAACUGACCCACUCGAGGGUGGUAGGGGUAGAGGGAAUUCCCGGUGUAGCGGUGAAAUGCGUAGAGAUCGGGAAGAACAUCGGUGGCGAAAGCGCUCUACUGGACGGCAACUGACACUCAGGGACGAAAGCUAGGGGAGCG